ensembl:snoRNA
AAGCCAGCCAACUGAUCUGCUUAUCUGACUGUGUGUCUACAGAGAGCUAGAAAAGCUGGGAAUAGUAAAGCCAUGCUAUGAGCCCUAAGGAUACCUAUAGUCAUUAAGAAUGCCUGAGAAUGCCUAUAUAC